rnacentral:lncRNA from 1 species
GUUUGUUAAGUGGACGUAUGGUAAACAUAAAUGAAUGUCAAUUUUCAGGGUCAGAAACGCAUAAAAAAUGACAAAUAUUUUUUAGUAAUAUUAAAUACUUUAUUUUCUUUGUGUGUGUGUAGAUAUAUAUGUUUGUAUGUAUGUAAUCUGUAUGGAGACGUACAGUAUGACCACGCCCUUCUCAUGAAUAUAUGGAGCGCGCGUGCCGGUGCUACCGCUGCACGAACGGAAGCGGAAAGGCCCCUGUGACAGUUCUGCACCUUGUGGUUUGUAAGGAUUUAUAUUCAUACAUAGUAAUUGAUAUUUUAAAACAUCGCUGGAAAAAAAAAUCAGCUGUUUAAACCGAAUAUUUUAGCAAUAUACAUUAGAUGUUACGUAACGUCAUUCAUUACGUGGGCGAACCAAACACAUUUCGAUGCGUAUAUCUCGGCUAAAUGUAUCGGUGCUUGGCUUGGCUUGUGUCGCGUGUGACUUUGACUGUGGAAUAUUAUAGGCAGCGGUUUCAUUCACGUUUUCCACAAUCCGCACAUUUCCAUAACCCCUGAGUACCCGUGAAGGGUUACAACACUGGUGAAACGCCCGGUUAAUAAAUGUGGACAGUAAUUUACGGUGAUCUGCGAAUGCGUUGUUUUCAUUUGAAAUACGCCCUGUGUUAUUUUUGUCCUUCACUGCCAGCAUCACUGGAGUGUAGAGUGUUCGUGCGCGUGCGGUUACUGUGUAUUUCUGUAGCUGGAGGAGGACAGGCGGUGGGGAAACGUGUCUUCGCUGUAUUCGCGGCGCUGUCCGUUCAGGUAGAGGCCGUGCGUCUCUCUGCGCCCCGACUCACAUCAACGCGUCCCCGUAACCCAGUUUUCCGGAGCAGUGCGUAGUCAACCAGUAGUCAUGUCCACAUCAUCGUUACGCCGUCAGAUGAAGAACAUUGUCCACAACUUUUCUGAGGCAGAGAUCAAGGUGAGAUAUUUGCCUUCCUUUUCUACCAUCUUCUUAACAUUCCUGCUUUGUUGACUAUUGUCUUGUGUCUGUCUAUUUCUUCAUGUUUUUUUAAAUUUAUAUUUCAAAUUCAAUUAUUGACUUUUUCAGUAAAUUCCAUGGCUCGGUCAAAAAUGCCAAAUAAUUGAUCCCUCAUUAUCUCGGUAAACAGCUC